GGGGGAUUGGCGCAAUGGUAGCGCGUGGCUCUCCUACUUCCCUUCCCGCAUCCGUCAAAAGAUAUGAAGGGCUGUAGUUGAAAAGCCAAGGUUGUGGGUUCGAGUCCCAUGUUCCUCG
rnacentral:tRNA from 1 species